rnacentral:rRNA from 1 species
UUCUGGCUCAGGAUGAACGCUAGCUACAGGCUUAACACAUGCAAGUCGAGGGGCAGCAUGUCGGUGGCUUGCCACCGGCGAUGGCGACCGGCGCACGGGUGAGUAACGCGUAUCCAACCUGCCCACAACCUCCGAAUAGCCCGCCGAAAGGCGGAUUAAUGCGGGAUGUGGUCUGAAGAUGACAUCUGAACUAGACCAAAGGUUUGUUCCGGUUGUGGAUGGAGAUGCGUCCGAUUAGGCAGCAGGCGGGGUGACGGCCCACCUGGCCUACGAUCGGUAGGGGUUCUGAGAGGAAGGUCCCCCACAUUGGAACUGAGACACGGUCCAAACUCCUACGGGAGGCAGCAGUGAGGAAUAUUGGUCAAUGGGCGGAAGCCUGAACCAGCCCAAGUAGCGUGUGGGAUGACGGCCCUACGGGUUGUAAACCACUUUUUCGCGGGGAUAACCGCCGGGCUGCGGCCCGGCCUGCAGGUACCGCGUGAAUAAGGACCGGCUAAUUCCGUGCCAGCAGCCGC